GACGAACGCUGGCGGCGUGCUUAACACAUGCAAGUCGAACGAUGAAGCUAGAGCUUGCUCUGGUGGAUUAGUGGCGAACGGGUGAGUAACACGUGAGUAACCUGCCCCGAACUCUGGGAUAACUGCUGGAAACGGUAGCUAAUACCGGAUAUGACCAAUGAAGGCAUCUUCUGUUGGUGGAAAGAAUUUCGGUUCGGGAUGGACUCGCGGCCUAUCAGCUUGUUGGUGAGGUAACGGCUCACCAAGGCGACGACGGGUAGCCGGCCUGAGAGGGUGAUGGGCCACACUGGGACUGAGACACGGCCCAGACUCCUACGGGAGGCAGCAGUGGGGAAUAUUGCACAAUGGGCGCAAGCCUGAUGCAGCAACGCCGCGUGAGGGACGACGGCCUUCGGGUUGUAAACCUCUUUUAGUAGGGAAGAAGCGAAAGUGACGGUACCUGCAGGAAAAGCACCGGCUAACUACGUGCCAGCAGCCGCGGUAA
rnacentral:rRNA from 1 species